UUAAAAUAAAUAAAUAAAAUGAAUCCCUUCAUUCUCAGGAUGAGAUGAUACACCAGAGCAUCUUCUGUAGGAAAAUCAAUACAUCAAUAGAAGAGUAAACCAUCAUGGAGAGGCCUAAUUUUGAAACGCUCUGUAUUCAGAGCACUUUAGCCAUGCAUUCGGGAUAGAGAUAUUAAGUUCCGUGUGCCAGGGACAAGGAUAAGUAAGUAAGACAGAUGCAAUUAAUCGCCCCACCAAGCUAGUGAGUAAGAGAGAGAAGCAGGAAAUUACCACUCUGCGUGAUGACACUGUACUUAUGGAAGUGCAGGUUACUUAAGCAACCCUGAGAGAUUAGCCAAGGUUUACUGUCCAGCGAAUUAACCAGGACUUCAGCAAUAGCAGGAAGGAACGGCAUGAAAUGAAGAGCUAUGUUCAAAGAGGAGGGAAUUAUUCAUAAACCAUUGUGAAGCUGGGUCUUAGGUUCAGUUAGCUGGGUAAACGGUAAUGUGAUGGCAUUUGUCAAAAAAUACAGAAAAAAGUAUAUUUUGGAUGGAGAGAAUUGUGGGGCAGGGAAUAGGAGUUUAUUUCUGGAUAUCGACAGAUUGGCACUAACUCCUGAAAAUGAUAUCCAAAUGGCAGUUAGAUCUGAGAGUCUAGAUUUCAGGAGAGACAGGAGCUGAGAUAUAAAUUUGUGAUUCAACCAUAUGUAUGUGUAUGGCAUAAUAAAGGAAAUAUAUAGUCUUUGCCCCAAUUUCUGGAACACAGAUUCUAGAACCUUGGAGUUUCCUUAGUGAUGAAAUGUCUUUAUUAUUCUACUUAAAUAACUCACAAUAGCUUCAGGGUAGUUUUAGGGUAGGGACUGGUCACCAUAAAGAUCAGGUACAUCACCAGCGAUGUUCCUGAACUUUGAACCCGAUAGCUAAGCCUUCAGAGAAAAGAGGGGCUGGAGAUAGAGUUCAGUCACAAAGCCAGUGAUGUCUACAUAAUAGCAGACCAGCAAGAAAAAGAUAACCCGCUGUACUUGAGAGUUCAGAGUUUGCUGGUUAGUGGAUACAUGGAUGUGUUAGCAAAGUGAUGUGCCUGGAUUCCAUGAAGGAAUGGUUUUGUCAACUUGACAAAUCUAGACUCAUCUGGGAAGAGGAAGUUACAACUGAGGACAUGAUUUGACCUGUAGUCAAGUCUGAUGAUGUAAGCGAACAAUAUGCAGUUGAUGGAAAUUCGGGCUGGAGAAAGCUAGUGACUGCGAUUGAGCAUUCUGAGCAUGUCCGUGGAAUCGAAGCCGAGGAGCCCGCUCCACUCUCAGGAUGAUGCAUUGCACCUGUUUCCCAGGCAAGACAUCUACAGCUGGAGAACGGAGGACUUCUGGCCCAUGUCUCUGGUUUUGAUAUCGUUCUUAUAGAUGAUGGGAGGGCGUGAAGCAUUAUAUCAAAAAAGGACUUUGCAAAAAUCUAUAUUCGGAUGUUAAAUGGAUGGUUUUGUCAGACUGUUGACUCACUUCCACUGGGACCUCAGAGAACAAUUGGCAGAUGGAAAUGUACCCAAGACACAGCAGCUGUGGCAUUUUCUCCAUGUCGCCAGGCAGUUAGCCAGACAUGGACUUGGCUGUACUGUGGUACAGCACCAGUCAUCCAAAGAAGUUUCCUGUGUUGUUUCAGAGUUGAUUUCAAAUCUACGAAUGCCAAGUCAUCACCAUAAGAGCCACCAUGCAACAUCCUCAUAGCCUCUCAACUUGCAGUGUGACCUUGUGUGGCUUUCCAAGCCCAAACCCUAUCUUUCCCUAAAUAGAAAGAGUUUGAGGUCUCCAAAGUAGACACCCUUGGUCAAAGAACACUAGUAGACAUGAAGGGUUCCCACCACCCUCCAUUUCUGAGGAAGGAAGAAACAUUUGAGAGAAUGUGUACUA
rnacentral:sRNA from 1 species